CACCGGGGGGUUAGCGUUAGUACGGCGAGUGAAGCGGCAAAAGCUCAAAUUUGAAAUCUGGUACCUUCGGUGCCCGAGUUGUAAUUUGGAGAGGGCAACUUUGGGGCCGUUCCUUGUCUAUGUUCCUUGGAACAGGACGUCAUAGAGGGUGAGAAUCCCGUGUGGCGAGGAGUGCGGUUCUUUGUAAAGUGCCUUCGAAGAGUCGAGUUGUUUGGGAAUGCAGCUCUAAGUGGGUGGUAAAUUCCAUCUAAAGCUAAAUAUUGGCGAGAGACCGAUAGCGAACAAGUACAGUGAUGGAAAGAUGAAAAGAACUUUGAAAAGAGAGUGAAAAAGUACGUGAAAUUGUUGAAAGGGAAGGGCAUUUGAUCAGACAUGGUGUUUUGUGCCCUCUGCUCCUUGUGGGUAGGGGAAUCUCGCAUUUCACUGGGCCAGCAUCAGUUUUGGUGGCAGGAUAAAUCCAUAGGAAUGUAGCUUGCCUCGGUAAGUAUUAUAGCCUGUGGGAAUACUGCCAGCUGGGACUGAGGACUGCGACGUAAGUCAAGGAUGCUGGCAUAAUGGUUAUAUGCCGCCCGCUGAAAAAAAAAAAAAAA
rnacentral:rRNA from 1 species